rnacentral:rRNA from 1 species
GGAGUUAGCCGGUGCUUCUUCUGUGAGUGAUGUCCUUCCUGCCGGUUAUUGACCCGCAGGCCUUCUUCCUCACUGAAAGUGCUUUACAACCCGAAGGCCUUCUUCACACACGCGGCAUGGCUGGAUCAGGGUUGCCCCCAUUGUCCAAUAUUCCCCACUGCUGCCUCCCGUAGGAGUCUGGGCCGUGUCUCAGUCCCAGUGUGGCUGAUCAUCCUCUCAGACCAGCUACGGAUCGUCGCCUUGGUGAGCCGUUACCUCACCAACCAGCUAAUCCGACAUAGGCUCAUCCGAUAGCGCGAGGCCCGAAGGUCCCCCGCUUUCCCCCGUAGGGCGUAUGCCGGUAUUAGCCUGGGUUUCCCCAGGUUAUCCCCCACUACCGGGCAGAUUCCUAUGCAUUACUCACCCGUCCGCCGCUCGCCACCAGGGAGCAAGCUCCCCGUGCUGCCGCUCGACUUGCAUGUGUAGCGUCGCGCCAGCGUCAUCUGAGCGAGAUACAACCUACUACGACGAGAGGCGGCGUCGACGACGCGCA